GAUGAACGCUGGCGGCGUGCCUAAUACAUGCAAGUCGAGCGAACGGACGAGAAGCUUGCUUUUCUGAUGUUAGCGGCGGACGGGUGAGUAACACGUGGAUAACCUACCUAUAAGACUGGGAUAACUUCGGGAAACCGGAGCUAAUACCGGAUAAUAUUUUGAACCGCAUGGUUCAAAAGUGAAAGACGGUCUUGCUGUCACUUAUAGAUGGAUCCGCGUUGGAUUAGCUAGUUGGUAGGGUAACGGCUUACCAAGGCAACGAUGCAUAGCUGGCCUGAGAGGAUGAUCCACCACACUGGCACUGAGACACGGCCCAGACUCUUACGGGAGGCAGCAGUGGGGAAUAGUGGACAAUGGGCGAAAGCCUGAUCCAGCAAUGCCGCGUGAGUGAUGAAGGCCUUAGGGUUGUAAAGCUCUUUUAACCGGGAUGAUAAUGACAGUACCGGGAGAAUAAGCUCCGGCUAACUCCGUG
rnacentral:rRNA from 1 species